UGAGGUUCAAAGUCAACAACAAUUUCCCAGCUAGUUGGUUCCAACUGGCCAGCGUGGAGAAUGCUGAUUGUGGCAGACAAUGAAGAGAGAAUAUAGACAUGGACCAACGGACGAAGGAGGAGCAACUGGGUUGUAGGCAACCAGCAUUUUGUGGUUUUAGAAAGACUAACCUUUGAAGAAAUUAGUGGAUAGAGAAUGUAAGCCGAAAAGAUUUCCUGCAAAUGAAACAAGAAAAAGAUACUCCAACUUAGAUCUCCAAGAGAUAAUAGCAUCAUAGGACAUAUGCAAAGGGCAAAAGAACUGAGCCUUUGUAAGACCCUGCUGCUAAAUUUAAUGUCCUUCAUCAUGGGCUCUUCAAAGGCAGGUAGAUUCUAAUCUUCUUGACGGUGUCUUGCCGCCCUUAGCAUCCCUCCCCACAAUCCCACACCCACCCUCCAGCUCUGAGCCUCAGCUGUCAUCUCCCCGGGUCUGAAAUCCAGUGAAGUCAGA
rnacentral:lncRNA from 1 species